GCCGGCGGCGCGGACCUCCUUGUCAAUGGGAGCGCGGGGCCGGGCUGCCCGCAGGACGGUCAGGUGGGCCCCCCAGCUCGCUGCCAGCGCGGCCUCUGUCCCUCUCGGGCCGGCUCUCCAUCUUGUCGCCCGUAGCCCGCCUUCUCCGUGGCUCUCCAGCCGCUGGGGCCGCAGAGCCGAGGCCGGGUUACCUCAGGAAACGCGAUGUGGUAGUGGGUCGGAAUAAACCCGCGCGCCCCAGAAUUCGCCUUGGGGGCGUAAGGACAGAUUCGGACUUUUCGUUUCCUAUGUCCACAUUUAUUGAGCACCUAAUAUGUGACACCCGAGGCUGUAAGAAGAGGAACGCAGCGGGCGGAGAAAAGCCAGAGCUUUUUCUCUGUGAGCCGCUGCCUCCAGGGCCAUAGCCGACCCUGCUCCGAGAUCCCAGCCGCCGCUCUCCGUGCAGGAGGGGUGCCCACCCUGGGGAGGCCAGGGUGCCCGGAGUGGAGGGACAGGGCUUCAAGCGACCGGGAGUUUCCAGCAAACCCCUGAUCCCUGAGCAGUUUAUUUUAAAAGCUUUUGCAAAUGUUGGACGGUUUCGUUUGGUGGAGGCCGUCUUUGCACUAAAUUCUCCUGUCCUCCCCCUUCGAAACGCACAAAAUGAAUUUUGAACAGAUUUUGGAUGAGAGGUUUUCUUCCUUUUUUCAUCUUCUGAAACAUUUCCCCCUCAUUUCUUCUCAGAUAAAGACCCAGAAACCCGGGACAGUUACUCGGUGUACAGCUAGUCAAAUACUGAGGAAACCAGUCGAUAUUUGCCAAAGAUUGGGCAUGUUCUGGGUGGUCUCAGAUUUUGAAGAAACGACUUUUUUACUGCACAAAAUAGUUUUACAAUCAGUUCCAUCAGACAGCCCCAGGGGCUCUCCUAGGGAAAGGGGCCAAUAGGCAAGGUUGCAUGGGGAUAAGAGAGGCAAGCGGCCAGUGGAAAACGGUUUUUUGUUUUUUUUUUCCUAACAGUUGGGCAUUUCUGUAGCUCUGAAAGCAAACUUGUUUGUUUCAUUUCAACGAUAGAAAAAAAACACUCCUGUUUUGGAAAUGUAACCCAGCAUAAAAAUACAUUUGCAAUGGGGAAAAAGAAAGCAGUUUAGGGCCACCCAGAAGAAAAUAUUUUUUCCCUGAUUUUUUUUUAAUUUGGUAUUUCCCAGUGUGGGUUUGCCUCAUUUUACAAAUAGCUGCCCAUGUCAAGAUGUGGGUAUGUGAUUUAAAUAUUUUAAUUUGAAUCACAUUUUACAUAGUCUAGGAAACUGACAAAAGAAUCCUAUAGAGAAUUGUUUUAUAAAGUGAAUAACUGCUUCUCUACCUACCCGCCCCUCUCAUUCUUCUUUUCUGUGCGUGUUUUUGGGGGGCUGUUAUGGGAUAAAUCUUGUUUGGCUUAAAAAUCACUAAAACGCAGCCUUUCAAAUCCAAAACAGAGAGCUUAGGUACCCAACAUUCUAUAGAAUGUAUUAUUUCCUCAAGAGGUUGCUAGGAACAGUUAUGUAGAUCUACCAGGUGCAGGGAAGCACUCCACACCCUCACCCAGGUCCUGUAUCCCUGCAAGACUGCGUUGGAAAGACUGAAGAGGAAGCUAAAGAAUGAUGCGCUCCACCACAAUGAGGGACUAAACAACAAAAAGGAGGCAUGAGAUUCAGGAAGCAAAAAAGGAAUUCAUCAUAUGAAGGAAUGAAGAUGUUCAAAAGAAAACCUUCAACCUCAUGCCAGAAGAUGUUCCCAGCUGUAUAAAUGCCUAACUCAGCUUCUAGUCCUUGGAAAUUAAGCAGCUCAUUGAAAAUUCAAGAGUUCCAGCCAGAAGCUACAGCUAGGCUCAGAUGUUGAAAUCAGUCUCUCCUGCUGAUCAAACUGUGACAUAGCCAAAGCAAUAGGCCUGGCUUUUCAGUUAAUUCUCAUUGCAGGUAACCAAGAUGCUUGGUGUUUAACAGCCACAUGAAGAUAAGACCUUGGACCCAGCAAGGUGUAGAGAGGAGCCAAGACCCUCACAAGAAUCUGGAACCCUCAAGCACUAAAAGAUGGAUAGAAAAAAAUAACGAGCGAAAGGAGAUAAUAAGGCAAAUUGUCUGGCUUGGCUUAGGCAUACAGAGUAAAAACGAAAAGUAUGUACUGAGAAUUUAUAACCACAGGCCUGCCCUCAAGUGGGAUAGGAGUUCUAAUACAUACUACCUUGGGACACCUUGGGUGCCUAACAGAGGCAAAUGCAAAUCCUCUCCAAAGACUCAUGUCUUCAACCUAGGCUACCUAAGAUUCUGCUAUGGUUUGAAUAUUUUUCCCUCCAAAACUCCUGUUGAAAUUUAAUCCCCAUUGUGGCCAUAUUGAGAGGUGGGGUCUUUAAGAGGUGAUUGGGUCAUAAGGGAUCUGCCCUCAUUAAUGGACGAAUCCAUUCAUGGAUUAAUGGAUUAAUGGGUUAUCACAGGAGAGGGACUGGUGGCUUUAUGAGGAGAAAAGAGACCUGAGCUAGCAUACUCAGUCCUCUUACCAUGUGAUGCCCUGCACCACCUUUGGACGCUUCAGAGUCCCCACCAGCAAGAAGGCCCUCAGCAGAUGUGGCCCCCUGACCUAAAACUUCCCAGCCUCCAUUAUUGUAAUAAAUAAAUCCUAUUCUUUAUAAAUUAUCUAGGUUCGUUAUUCUGUGAUAAGCAGUAGAAAACAGACUAAGACAAUUCCCAUGGAUAAAAGGUUUGAUUGAACAUAAAUUCACAAUCCAAAAUUUCAUACCAAAAGAAAGAUUCCCAUGCAUGAAUGCAAGCAGUAAAAACAGCUUUAUUAGACUUCCAGGAACUUCAGAUAACGAGCAAUCAGAUAGAGAGUAUAAAAUGAGUUUUAUAUUUUUAAAAGGUUUAAGGAAACAGUAUCAGGAAUAAGAUGUAACUAAGAACACACACAUAAACAAGGCCUGACAGGUUUUAUAAAAUAAAGUAGAACUUCUAAAAAAUAAAAAAGUGAUAAUCAAAUUUUAGAAUACAAUGGAAUACUUAAAUAACCAAAUUAGAUUCAGUUGUAAAAAGAAUUAGCAAACUGGAAAAAUCUGAGGGAAGUACCUAAAGUGCAGCACAGAGUUGCAAGAAUGGAAAAAUAUAAAAAACAUUGAAUAUGUGAGCAUUUGAAGGACACAUAUAUGUUGUACUGAUGAUAUUCUACAUGGAUGAAAGAGAAUGAGGGGAUAUGAGAAAUAUUUAAAGAGAUAAUUGGUGAGAAUUUUCCAGAACAGGUAGAAGACAUGAAUCGUUAGAUUCAGGAAGCACAAUAAAUCUCAAAUUCUCCUACUGCAUUUCAGCAUACAUCACACAUUUUAAUGAAAUAUAACUAUAUUUCCCAAAACAAACUGUUAAUGAGAAGAGUGGCGUUGUUUUACAUUUUUGCUAAUCUCUUUAAUGUCUAGUUUAGUAGAAUACUGUUGGAUUCUCAUAUGUGCUUUUGGAUUCAACCUGUUCCAAUAUCACAUGUCAUAUAGCCUUUGGAAAACAAAUCUGCAAGAGAAUGAGAAUGAAAAAGACAAAUUAUGUCUUAGCAUUAUUAUAAAUAUACUUUUGGCCUUGUGUAACUCCUGAAAAAUUCUCCAGGUUCUUCAAGGGUCUUUAGAACAUACUUGGAGGAACACUGAUUUAUGUAUUUAUUUAAAAAAAUUUUCUUUAGAGAUUAGGUCUUGCUUUGUUUCCCAGGCUGGAGUGCAGUGGUGCAAUCAUAGCUCACUGCACCCUUGAACUCUUGGGCUGAAGCAAUCCUCCUAUGUCAGCUUUCCAAGUAGCUGGGACAAUAGGGGCACACCACCAUGCCCAGCUAAUUUUUAAAAUUUUUUAGAGGUAGGGUCUCACUAUGCUGUCCAAGCUGGUCUCAAACUCCCAGCCUCAAGUGAUCCUCCUUCCUCAGCCUACUGAGUAUCUGGGAUUAUAGGUGUGAGACACUGUGACCAGCUAGGACCACUGAUUUUGUGUAAGUUUUUUAUUAUGGGUUAUGGGUGGUGGACUGGGUGUGUUACAAACAAAUAUUCUACACACGUACACACACAGGUACAUACACACACACAAACAACCAUAUAUGCUCUACAUGAAUCCCAGUUUUUCAGGGAAUUAGAAUACAUACAAUAAGGUACACUUGGAUUUGAAACUCAGGGGAUUUCAUUUCUCUUCCAUGAUUUAAAGGGUACUUCAGGAUCCUGCAAUACCAUCUUUGUGAACAUCAGGAAUAUUACGUUGGUACAUACAGAAAGAAGUCUUGAGUAAUACCAGAUAUUUUUGGUUAAUAAGAUG
rnacentral:lncRNA from 1 species